rnacentral:rRNA from 1 species
UAAUACGGAGGGUGCAAGCGUUGUUCGGAUUUAUUGGGCGUAAAGAGAGUGUAGGCGGUUUGUUAAGUCAGAAGUGAAAGCCCCGGGCUCAACCCGGGAAGUGCUUUUGAAACUGGCAGACUUGAGUACGGGAGAGGGUAGCGGAAUUCCAAGUGUAGAGGUGAAAUUCGUAGAUAUUUGGAGGAACACCGGUGGCGAAGGCGGCUACCUGGACCGAUACUGACGCUGAGACUCGAAAGCGUGGGGAGCAAACGGGAUUAGGUACCCCGGUAGUCCACGCCCUAAACGAUGAGUACUAGGUGUUGCGGGGGUUACCCUGCGGUGCCGCAGCUAACGCAUUAAGUACUCCGCCUGGGAAGUACGGCCGCAAGGCUA